rnacentral:rRNA from 1 species
UACGUAGGGGGCAAGCGUUGUCCGGAUUUAUUGGGCGUAAAGAGCGUGUAGGCGGCCAAGCAGGUCCGCUGUGAAAACUCGAGGCUCAACCUCGAGACGUCGGUGGAAACCGUUUGGCUAGAGUCCGGAAGAGGAGAGUGGAAUUCCCGGUGUAGCGGUGAAAGUGCGCAGAUAUCGGGAAGAACACCCGUGGCGAAGGCGGCUCUCUGGGACGGUACUGACGCUGAGACGCGAAAGCGUGGGGGAGCGAACAGG